rnacentral:rRNA from 1 species
UACGGAGGGUGCAAGCGUUAUCCGGAUUCACUGGGUUUAAAGGGUGCGUAGGUGGGCUGGUAAGUCAGUGGUGAAAUCUCCGGGCUUAACUCGGAAACUGCCAUUGAUACUAUCAGUCUUGAAUACCGUGGAGGUCAGUAGAAUAUGUCAUGUAGCGGUGAAAUGCUUAGAUAUGACAUAGAAUACCAAUUGCGAAGGCAGCUGGCUACACGAAUAUUGACACUCAGGCACGAAAGCGUGGGGAUCAAACAGG